GACGAACGCUGGCGGCGUGCUUAACACAUGCAAGUCGAACGGAAAGGCCCUGCUUUUGUGGGGUGCUCGAGUGGCGAACGGGUGAGUAACACGUGAGUAACCUGCCCUUGACUUUGGGAUAACUUCAGGAAACUGGUGCUAAUACCGGAUAGGUGCUCCUGCUGCAUGGUGGGGGUUGGAAAGUUUCGGCGGUGGGGGCUGGACUCGCGGCUUAUCAGCUGGUUGGUGGGGUAGUGGCUUACCAAGGCUUUGGCGGGUAGCCGGCCUGGGAGGGUGACCGGCCACAUUGGGACUGCGAUACGGCCCAGACUCCUACGGGAGGCAGCAGUGGGGAAUAUUGCACAAUGGGCGGAAGCCUGAUGCAGCAACGCCGCGUGCGGGAUGACGGCCUUCGGGUUGUAAACCGCUUUCGCCUGUGACGAAGCGUGAGUGACGGUAAUGGGUAAAGAAGCACCGGCUAACUACGUG
rnacentral:rRNA from 1 species